AUGAGAGGCGGAGAGCGUGGCCACUCCCACACCCAUCAGACCACGCCCACUCCCGCAGACCACGCCCACUUCCCAAAGCCCCGCCUCUUCCUCCCCCGCAGCCAAUCAGAUGAGGAGGGCGUGGCCACGCCCCCCCUGGCGGUGGGCGCCAUGUUGGGAGCGGGGUGGUCGGUGAAGGGCGGCCCUAUAGGGGCUAUAGGGGAGAUCUAUAGGGGAUCUAUGGGGAUCUAUGGGGUUCUAUGGGGAUCUAUAGGGGAUCU
rnacentral:lncRNA from 1 species